UACGUAGGGGGCAAGCGUUGUCCGGAUUUAUUGGGCGUAAAGAGCGUGUAGGCGGUUAGGUAGGUCCGUUGUGAAAACUCGAGCUCAACCUCGAGACGCCGAUGGAAACCCCCUAACCUAAGAGUCCGGAAGAGGAGAGUGGAAUUCCUGGUGUAGCGGUGAAAUGCGCAGAUAUCAGGAAGAACACCCGUGGCUAAGGCGGCUCUCUAGUACGGUACUGACGCUGAGACGCGAAAGCGUGGGGAGCGAACAGG
rnacentral:rRNA from 1 species